rnacentral:rRNA from 1 species
GACGAACGCUGGCGGCGUGCUUAACACAUGCAAGUCGAACGGAAAGGCCCUGCUUUUGUGGGGUGCUCGAGUGGCGAACGGGUGAGUAACACGUGAGUAACCUGCCCUUGACUUUGGGGUAACUUCAGGAAACUGGGGCUAAUACCGCAUAGGAGCUCCUGCUGCGUGGGGGGGGUUGGAAAGUUUCGGCGGUUGGGGAUGGACUCGCGGCUUAUCAGCUUGUUGGUGGGGUAGUGGCUUACCAAGGCUUUGACGGGUAGCCGGCCUGAGAGGGUGACCGGCCACAUUGGGACCGCGAUACGGCCCAGACUCUUACGGGAGGCAGCAGUGGGGAAUAUUGCACAAUGGGCGGAAGCCUGAUGCAGCAACGCCGCGUGCGGGAUGACGGCCUUCUGGUUGUAAACCGCUUUCGCCUGUGACGAAGCGUGAGUGACGGUAAUGGGUAAAGAAGCACCGGCUAACUACGUG